CACAACGGCCACAAUGCACUGAACAUAUCCAAUCUCUUCUGAUUUAGAAGCUAAACAGGGCCUAACCUGGUUAGUUCUUGGACGGGAGACCACCCAGGCAAUAGGUGGGUACUGUAGGCU
rnacentral:rRNA from 1 species